UCUCUAGCCAUUAGAUUACAUAGUCCCACGUGCAUGCCUCCUCUUUACCUCUCGCAAAAUAUCUCACGUGCAUGCCAUCUCUCCGUCUGGGCGAUCUCUAUCGGCCGCCUCCUAGAUCUGCUGUCAUUGCCCACCCAUCACCAUCAAUCUGAUCGUCCCUCCUACCGACGUCAACGAUGCCACAGGUGAGCACGUCCUCCUCUGCCUUUUUUAUCCACUAUCUCCAUCCCUAGCGCCUAGCCCCAUUAUAGAGGUAGUCUGCUCUUUCUGUUAUUGAUGUUGGCCGGUAAAACUCGUCACUCUCCUCAUCUUCUCCACGCUGCCUUCUGUUUGUCUCCGGUUAUCAAUUUCCCUUCAAUUGUAGAAGACACGACCAUCUUUCUACAUGCUCUCUGUAAUGCCUUAAGUCCAUUGUCGCAGAACUUUCUAAAGGAGGUAAACUUCACAGCUAUAGUAUAUGUUCAAUUUUAUGCUCAUGCCAUGAUCCAAUAAGUUACGUAACUGCAUCUUAGAAGCACAAAAUAGGCUAUGUUCUGAUGGAAUUCUGUUUUAUAGUGCUAUAUGUACAUAUAUACUUGGAGUAGAUAUGUAUUCAGGAGUCAAGAAGGCGACACCUAGCAGUAUUUAUUUGAAGUAGCAAUGGAGAUUAAAAAAAGGUGACCAAGUUAACCUCUAGGUUGAUCGUCCUCAUAUAUAUAGUUUGUUAUUCCAAUGACGUUCCUUUGCUAAAUUGAUGUAAUAAAUAAUUAAGAACGUGAUGUGUGAGUUGAGUUUUGUACAGUACAUAUUCUAUUUUGUAUGGUGUUGGCACUAGCUGCUAUGUAAUUAAGAUUUGAUUAGUAACACAAAGAAACUCCCAGUAAUUUUAUAUGUGGUAUAGACAGAUUCAUUGAUACUACACCAUAUGUUGUUGUAGUUGACUAUGUUAUACAGAAAUGUGCAUAAUUUACUGGGCAGAGCAGACAAAGUUCAGUCUCUAUUUCUUUCUUUACGCAG
rnacentral:lncRNA from 1 species